CUUGAGUCUCCCCCGGUCAGGGGAUGUACGAGUAGCAGCAGGACGCCGUCCAAUCCAACCAACCACCUCACCGCCCCCUCCGCUCCUGCCCACCCCGUGAACAGGGGGAGACAGAAAAGGGAGGGGGGAUCAGCGGGAAGCGAUCGGAGCCAGCGGAGGUGGAAGAGGAAGCUGACAGAUGGGACCCACUUGGUAGUGAGAGAAAUCUGUAGGAUCCAGCUGUCAGAGAAGGAAAGAGAAGAGCAGAUCAGGGGCAAAAAGGACAUUUCAUUUGGGUCUGCUGACUGGGCGCUAGCGUGUCGAACUGGCGUGGCGUGCCACAUCACCAAAUGUGGUUCCGAAGCCGCCGCCUGCUCCGCUGAUCGGGUCUCCCCGCUUCUUCCAGCGCCGGGCCUCCUCAUCUUCGGUCCUCCGGGUAAAGCAGGGUGCCAGGGAUUUUCUCCCACUUCUUCAAUUCCAAUGGAACAUAGCUCUGCAGAAGAUUCAGACAUUAGUGAUUCGGAUAUUGUUGAACACAAGGAGAAGACCUAUGCCCAACUGCGAGCUGGAAAAUUGAAAGCAAAACAUGGUGAGAAUGUCUUCCGGUGCCCUUUCUGCCCUGGGAAGAAGAAGCAGGACUACAACCUCAAGGAUCUACUGCAGCAUGCCACAGGAAUAGGAGCUGCUACUAAGCGCAGUGGCAAGGUGAAGGCAACACACCUUGGGCUUGCUAUGUUCUUAGAGAAGGAUAUAGCCAGCUCGUUGGAGAAACCAUUGCAAAUUGUGGUCUACAAGCCAAAAACGACAAAGAGUGAUGAAGAAGUUUUCGUAUGGCCAUGGAUGGGCAUUGUGGUUAACUUACAAUAUGAGUUGAAGGGCGAAGAUUUUUUUAAGGAAAGUGAAGAAAGGCUAAGAGCACAGCUCUCGCGAUUCAGACCACUCCAAGUUACAAUUCUUGGGGUUGGGGAUGACAAAGACCAGACCUUUUGUGCCAUUAUCAAGUUUGCUAAGGACUGGAGUGGAUUAAAGGAUGCAUUGGCUUUUGAAAAGCAUUUCAUAGUCGAGCAGUAUGGUAAGACAGAUUGGAUCAAAAUAAAUCGCAGAAAGGAUGAUCUUUAUGGAUGGCUUGCGAGAUCUGAUGAUUAUAACUCUUCUGGGCCAAUUGGGCAGCAUCUAAGAGAAAAUGGAGAUCUUAGAAGUGUUGGUGACCUGGAACGUGAGGGGAUGCAAGAAACUGACAAGCGUGUAGCUCAUUAUGCUCGCCAAAUCGGGGUAACAAACUAUCACAUGAGCGAAUUGGAGCUUAGGAACAAUCAAAAUGCCAUGAAACUUGAUAGGAUGAUGGAAGAGAAUGAUCGACUGAUUGAAGGGCACAACGAAAAGAUAAGAAAGAUGCAGAAAAAUGCUUGUCGGAGUUCUAGGAAAAUAAUUGAAGAAAAUAUUAGAUUGUAUGGAGAACUGGAGACUAGUAAAAAGGAGAUUGACAAGAAACGUGAGCAACUUGAAAAGUUGGCUGAAAAAGGCAACACUAACAGAGAAAAGCUUGAAGCUGCAAAAGAAGAGAAUGCAAAGGAUAACAGGCUUCUUAGUUUAGCAACCCAAAAGAAAAAGGAAGAAGAUGACAAGCUUUUGCGACUUCUUGAGAAACAAAAGCAAGAGAAAGAAGAUGCUUUGAAGAAGCUAUAUGAUUUAGAAAUGCAGUUGGAUUCCAAACAAAAACUUGAACUGGAUAUAGAACAGUUGAAGGGGAACUUAGAGGUAAUGAGCCAUAUGGGAGAUGCUGAUACAAAUUUGAAGAAGAAGCUCGGUGAAUUGCUUAAAGAACUGGAAGAAAAAAAAGAUGAAAUGGAAAGUAUCGAUUCUCUUAACCAGACCCUGAUUAUUAAGGAACGAAGAACCAACGAUGAGCUGGAAGAAGCCAAGAAAGAACUGAUAAUUGACCUACAAAAGAUGUCUAGAGGUAGAUCACAUAUUGUGUCAAAAGAAUGGGUGAGCUUGACCAGAAAGCUUUCUUUGCUGCUUGCAAAGAGAAGACAGCAGAAGAUGUUAAGUUGGCACUUCUGUGCUCAAAAUGGGAGGAUGAGAUCAGGCAACCAGAAUGGCAUCCUUUCAAAGUCAUCAAUGUUGACGGGGAGGCAAAGGAAAUAAUUAAAGAGGAUGAUGAGAAGCUGCAAGCUUUGAAAGCUGAACUCGGUGAGAAGGCGUGCGAUAUUGUUGUGAAGGCUCUUCUUGAGAUGAACGAAUACAAUCCCAGUGGUAGGUAUCCCUUGCCCGAGCUGUGGAACUUCAAGGACGACAGUAAAGCAUCAAUGGGCGAGGUAGCAGCGUACAUAGUGAAGCAGUGGAAGGCAAACAAGAGGAAGAGAUCCUACACCUGAUGAGUGACCUGGAAGGGCCUUGCUAGACCAUGUGGAACCAAUUGAUGUUUUCAUGUCCCUGGCCUCUUUGCUGAAACAUUAUGUAAUGUACUACUUUAUUCGUUCCAUCUCUGGGCACGAUUAGCUAGCACCAUUAGGCAACAUUCUGUGCCUAUCCGGUACCUAGAUUCCGUUCUCAAACUGUAAUCCCGCCCUGACAUCUGUUCUUGUCACUAUUCGGGCAAUCAAAUGUGCUUUGCAAAAUGCAAAUAUACUGUGAGUUCGUCAAUUUCAGUUGACCAAUUCUGGAGCCAUCGAUGGGGGCAAGCCACCAACUCCCAGUUACAAGGAGAGUCAUGGGAAAUGACUCUUAAGGCCCUAUUUGGGUGUUACAGUUUUCUUAAACUGCAAUAUCUGAAACAACAGUUUUUGAAGUUGAACGGAUAAAUUCAUUCGUGUUUGGAGAUUGCAGCA